GUAUCUUUGAGCCACGUUUCAGUUACAGCAAUAAACUCUAUAGAAUGUAUUGAUAGUAAGAGGGAUAGCUCGUCUAUUUUGGGUUAUAGUGAACGAGCAUUUAUAAGAAGAAAACUCGGUAAUCUUGAUAUGUUGUUUCGGUUCAUAGCCUGGUCAUGUAUUGAAGUACUGACUAAUUUCAGUUGUCUAUGAUUAUUAAUGUAGUUAACGACGGUUUUUGUACGGUUGUUAGUAAUUCUCACAGGGAUCUUGCGAGUAUUAGCGCUAACGACAGGGAUUAUACCAGUGUUUCUGCAUACCGUGCCCUGCAAUAGGGGGGAAUUUGGAAGGUGUAGGCAGGGCAUAAAGGAUUGCAGAUGGCAGAAUUUGGAAGGUGUAGGAUGGCAGAAUUUGGAAGGUGUAGGGAGGGCAUUGCCAAAAGUGGUGCUGAAAAUGAUCCAAGUAAUUAUCUGUUAUUCCUGCUGUUCAGUGACAAACUUUAUGACUAUCUUAAGACCGUUUUCCACCAGGC